GGUCCUACGGGACGCAGCAGUGGGGAAUAUUGCACAAUGGGGGAAACCCUGAUGCAGCGACGCCGCGUGAGUGAAGAAGUAAUUCGUUACGUAAAGCUCUAUCAGCAGGGAAGAAACACUGACCUUACGGUCAGCAGACGGUACCUGAGUAAGAAGCCCCGGCUAACUACGUGCCAGCAGCCGCGGUAAUACGUAGGAUGCGAGCGUUAUCCGGAUUUAUUGGGUUUAAAGGGUGCGUAGGCGGUCCGUUAAGUCAGCGGUAAAAUUGCGGGGCUCAACCCCGUCGAGCCGUUGAAACUGGCAGA
rnacentral:rRNA from 1 species